AAUGGACCAAAGCAAUGUAUCAAAGAAGAUUCUGUGUUCCUAGGAGAGGGAGCAAACAUCAAGUGCCUUUGGUAACCAUGAUGACAGACAGGCAUUUUACCUGUAAUCUCUGUGGACAAACUGUUCUACUGCAAAAGGAGAGGAUGACAGAAAAUUGCAGACUGACCUGAGAUUUAGAGGAGUUGACCAGGUUAUUCAUGAUCCAAGGAAAGGAUUGAGAGUAGAAGUUUAUCUUCAGCUACCUGAGCAACGUUGGGCUACAUGAGACUAUGCCUCAUAAAAGAACACAAAAACUACCACCGCCUACAAAAAGUUGAGUGUUCCCAAAGGCAAACCUAACUAUGUGUCUGCUACUGAGGAUUGACCUCUGAAACUCCACAGCCAUGACCCUGUGCAAACAAACUCAAGAUGAAAACAUUUCUCAGUAAGCUAGCACAUUUCUGAAGUACAGGUACAGCAAGUUUACAAGCAAGAAUUCCUGAACAUGUGUUUUCUUCAGAUAACCCAUUUAAUCAAAUGUAUCUGCUUAGUGAAUGGGAAAAAGACCUGAGACAUUUUCCUUAGUUAAAUUCUUUCCUUGUGGUCAGUACAUCAAAAGGUCCAUGGCAGUCAAUCAAAUACUUUGCAUCUUUAAAAAUCCAGGGCACAAAAGACUAGAGUAACCAAGGAUGUUUCUAGGCAUUGUAUAAUCUGGCUCAAACACUGGAGCACUUAGAGGUGGCUUUUUCUUAUCUUUGUGAGGUUCUACUUUAUAAGCAUUCAGUCAUCAUCCAAAGAAUUUAGCUUUGCCAAAGAAUUUAUGCUCAUUUAAAAAUCUUUCCUUUCAUUUAAUUCAGUAAUCAAACCACAGAUGCAUCUGGUAAUAUUUUCACUAAACAUGGAGUACAUACCAUCAAUUCUAGAUUGAGAAUUGUUUGUUUAAACCCCAGGCAUUUAAAAUGACCAGUUUUAUACUCUUUAAGCAUAAUUUCACUUUCAACAUUCAUAAAUAUAAAACUUUCAUUCAAAUGCUCGGCAUACAUUCUUGCUUUCAUAAUUUUACCCAGAGGUGAAAGAAAAGAGGUUCAAGUAUGAGAGGACAGACAAAGUUUUCAGAAGCUAAUCCAUGUCCAUGGGCUUGGGCUUGUUUUCAGGAUAGUCACCCAGAGGAAAAAGCCCCAAAUUUGUUGUGGUAAAUGCUAGCCCAAAACUCAGGGUUGGCCUGAGCCACUGUUCUAUUACAGAUUAAGUCCUUCCAACUUGAACAGCUCAUGGGACUUCCCAAAGCCCCCACAGCCACACAGAAAGAGGACAGUGAGAAACAAAGGCUCCUCAAGCAUGUUCUCUGACCACAUUCCAUGCCUGUCUCCAAAUAGUGGAUGGUGUUUCUAAUGUUAUCCACAUAAACUCUUCCACUGAAGUUUCACAAAGUAUUCUGUGGGUUGCAGGGCAAGUAUUAGGAAUCUUUAUCUUCUUUAUGUUUUUCUUUCUUUAACCCUUUUAAUAUCUAAAGAGUAAGAAGAGCAGAACGAAGAACAAGAGAGUUCUACUGGGAACUCCACUUUCAUUGGAGAAAGUGAUGACAGAAAGAUGAUAGACAAAAUACUCAGGAAGAAGCCUGAGUACCAAACACACUAGUGCUGGAAGAACAUGUUUAGUGCAACUGAAAUGUGGCUCUCCCUUAACAGCAAAAUCUAUUGCUCUCUCACAGAUAAAUGCCCUUCCAAUUAUCAGAUUUCAAACACAUUCAUCCUUGAAAAACAGAGAUGCUUAAGUAAUCUUAUUGUUGAUUUGUGACCCAAGCAGUGGGGCUGUAAUCAGCAAACCCAGCAUUGAUAUCUGGUAUUUACAGGGAAGUCUUGAAUAAAUAAUUGGACACUAGCA